rnacentral:lncRNA from 1 species
CUAGACUUGUUCUUUUCGUAUCCUUGGGGUAGAAUCUCGUACGGACGUCUGAUAAAGGGCUUUCGGGGCCGUUGGGCAAGAAAAUUUUUGGAUGCGACGAAGAAGAAGGAGAAGGCGGUUAGCUACACGGUCCACGGCUUUCCCAUUGCCAUACAAGUAUCUUUAUUUUACCUACAAAUUAUUUCAAUGCAAAUGUAUUUCGUGGUUGGUUUCGUUCUGAACUGACAUUCCUUUUUUAUUCUAACAGAUAUGGGCGUUCGAGGCGGUGCCUGAAAUUGGUGACCGCUUCGGUGAGCGUCUUGGGGAACGUUCCCCACGGCUUCUCGGCUGGACAUCAACAAAACAGCCGCAGCAGCGUACGUACGACGCUUUCUUCAAGAAUGUACAGGUAAAAAAUUAUGUUACUUCUACGAUCUCAUACCUUCCAUUCGUCAUUGUAGCAUGUGGUUAUUUCGUAACGAAUAUGUUCAUGUUGUAGCUACACGUGUACGCGACACUGCGGCCCACCGAGACUGAGCGUGGGCAACCUCAUAUCGCCACUCUUGUGCUGCUCAAUGAUGAUCCUGUCCCUGCGUUGGAUGACCUUGCUAGGGACAGUGUUGCU